UCUCUGUUCUUCCUGCUCCACAGCUUCCUCUUGUCGAUGGCUACCAUUUGAUAAGAUCUCAUACGGAAUGUAGUGAGUGUCAAGAGUAUGUUGGGCAAUCUGUGAUGAGCAGGAAGACAAAUGAGGACUUCAUUCCCUACACUGCAUUAACUAAGGAGGUAGAAGACUGGAUUCAGAAGAAGAGUUACUAAGGAACUGGAGCUAACACUCUCACCGACUUCCCUGGGAAUCAUCUCCUCCCCCCAGGGUUCUGUGUUCUCAUAAAUACUUGCCUCUGCAGCAAGAGGAGACUGCCGUUCCUUUAGUCUCUGCUCUUCCUUCACUCGUGCUUUGCUCUCUCCUGCUAGCGCUCAGUGGGUUGGCCAGCUUGUUGGGAGGCCUGACUUUGGCAGCCACCCAAACCCAGUCCUCCCAGCAGCAAAGCAGCCCUGGCUCCCCUGUCCCGCGAGCAGUGUGCGAGGUACUGCGAGGGUGCCAGCAGGGCCCGCACGGAGCGGGGAGAGGCGACCGGGGGUGUUGCGUGCUGCUUGCAGAACUCGUGCACAGAAGCUCUGCAACGGAGUUUUCUUCCCCGUUGGGCUCAGUCCUGCAGAGAAACAUCCCAGGCCUCUGUCGGCACCACGGAGGGUGGCAGAAGCCAUGAGGUCCUCGCUGCUGCUGUUGGCACCAAGAAGGGAAAACGCUGCCAGAAGACUGUCUUGUGUGAACAGCGGCAAUGGCCUAAGGAGAUGAUAGCAAAAGAUGAUGUUGACACAUGCUGAUUUUAAAUGAAUUAAAGA
rnacentral:lncRNA from 1 species